UACGAAGGGGGCUAGCGUUGUUCGGAAUUACUGGGCGUAAAGCGCACGUAGGCGGACAUUUAAGUCAGGGGUGAAAUCCCGGAGCUCAACUCCGGAACUGCCUUUGAUACUGGGUGUCUUGAGUGUGGAAGAGGUGAGUGGAAUUCCGAGUGUAGAGGUGAAAUUCGUAGAUAUUCGGAGGAACACCAGUGGCGAAGGCGGCUCACUGGUCCAUUACUGGACGCUGAGGUGCGAAAGCGUGGGGAGCAAACAGG
rnacentral:rRNA from 1 species